rnacentral:rRNA from 1 species
UACGUAGGGUGCAAGCGUUAAUCGGAAUUACUGGGCGUAAAGCGUGCGCAGGCGGCUAUGCAAGACAGAUGUGAAAUCCCCGGGCUCAACCUGGGAACUGCAUUUGUGACUGCAUGGCUAGAGUACGGCAGAGGGGGGAUGGAAUUCCGCGUGUAGCAGUGAAAUGCGUAGAUAUCGGGAGGAACACCAGUGGCGAAGGCGGCUUUCUGGCCCGUUCUUGACGCUGAGGCGCGAAAGCUAGGGUAGCAAACGGG